rnacentral:rRNA from 1 species
AGACCCGAAACCCGGUGAUCUAGCCAUGGGCAGGUUGAAGGUUGGGUAACACUAACUGGAGGACCGAACCGACUAAUGUUGAAAAAUUAGCGGAUGACCUGUGGCUGGGGGUGAAAGGCCAAUCAAACCGGGAGAUAGCUGGUUCUCCCCGAAAGCUAUUUAGGUAGCGCCUCGUGAAUUCAUCUCCGGGGGUAGAGCACUGUUUCGGCUAGGGGGCCAUCCCGGCUUACCAACCCGAUGCAAACUGCGAAUACCGGAGAAUGUUAUCACGGGAGACACACGGCGGGUGCUAACGUCCGUCGUGAAGAGGGAAACAACCCAGACCGCCAGCUAAGGUCCCAAAGUCAUGGUUAAGUGGGAAACGAUGUGGGAAGGCCCAGACAGCCAGGAUGUUGGCUUAGAAGCAGCCAUCAUUUAAAGAAAGCGUAAUAGCUCACUGGUCGAGUCGGCCUGCGCGGAAGAUGUAACGGGGCUAAACCAUGCACCGAAGCUGCGGCAGCGACACUCAGGUGUUGUUGGGUAGGGGAGCGUUCUGUAAGCCUGUGAAGGUGGCCUGUGAGGGUUGCUGGAGGUAUCAGAAGUGCGAAUGCUGACAUAAGUAACGAUAAAGCGGGUGAAAAGCCCGCUCGCCGGAAGACCAAGGGUUCCUGUCCAACGUUAAUCGGGGCAGGGUGAGUCGACCCCUAAGGCGAGGCCGAAAGGCGUAGUCGAUGGGAAACGGGUUAAUAUUCCCGUACUUGGUGUUACUGCGAAGGGGGGACGGAGAAGGCUAUGUUGGCCGGGCGACGGUUGUCCCGGUUUAAGCGUGUAGGCUGGUUUUCCAGGCAAAUCCGGAAAAUCAAGGCUGAGGCGUGAUGACGAGGCACUACGGUGCUGAAGCAACAAAUGCCCUGCUUCCAGGAAAAGCCUCUAAGCAUCAGGUAACAUCAAAUCGUACCCCAAACCGACACAGGUGGUCAGGUAGAGAAUACCAAGGCGCUUGAGAGAACUCGGGUGAAGGAACU